AUACGGAGGAUCCGAGCGUUAUCCGGAUUUAUUGGGUUUAAAGGGUGCGCAGGCGGCCAUUUAAGUCAGCGGUUAAAUCGUGGGGCUCAACCCCAUUCUGCCGUUGAUACUGGGUGGCUUGAUUGCGGUCGAGGUUGGCGGAAUUCGUUGUGUAGCGGUGAAAUGCAUAGAUAUGACGAAGAACACCGAUUGCGUAGGCAGCUGACCAGACCGCAAAUGACGCUCAUGCACGAAAGUGCGGGGAUCGAACAGGAUUAGAUACCCUGGUAGUCCGCACAGUAAACGAUGAAUACUUGUUUUCGGCGAUAUAAUGUCGGAGGCAAAGCGAAAGCGAUAAGUAUUCCACCUGGGGAGUACGCCGGCAACGGCGAAACUCAAAUGAAUUGACGGGG
rnacentral:rRNA from 1 species